ACGAACGCUGGCGGCGUGCCUAAUACAUGCAAGUAGAACGCUGAAGGAGGAGCUUGCUUCUCUGGAUGAGUUGCGAACGGGUGAGUAACGCGUAGGUAACCUGCCUGGUAGCGGGGGAUAACUAUUGGAAACGAUAGCUAAUACCGCAUAAUAGUAGAUGUCGCAUGACAUUUGCUUAAAAGGUGCAAUUGCAUCACUACCAGAUGGACCUGCGUUGUAUUAGCUAGUUGGUGAGGUAACGGCUCACCAAGGCAACGAUACAUAGCCGACCUGAGAGGGUGAUCGGCCACACUGGGACUGAGACACGGCCCAGACUCCUACGGGAGGCAGCAGUAGGGAAUCUUCGGCAAUGGACGGAAGUCUGACCGAGCAACGCCGCGUGAGUGAAGAAGGUUGUCGGAUCGUAAAGCUCUGUUGUAAGAGAAGAACGAGUGUGAGAGUGGAAAGUUCACACUGUGACGGUAUCUUACCAGAAAGGGACGGCUAACUACGUG
rnacentral:rRNA from 1 species